UGGCCGCAUCACGUUGAAACAUCGGAUUCCGUACGAUCACGUAAGUUAAGCAAUGUCGAGCGUGGUUAAUACCUAGGUGGGUGACUGCUUUGGAAUACGAGGUGCCAUA